UACGAAGGGUGCAAGCGUUAAUCGGAAUUACUGGGCGUAAAGCGUGCGUAGGCGGUUGCUUAAGUCAGAUGUGAAAGCCCUGGGCUCAACCUGGGAAUGGCAUUUGAAACUGGGCAGCUAGAGUGUGAUAGAGGAUGGCGGAAUUCCCGGUGUAGCGGUGAAAUGCGUAGAGAUCGGGAGGAACAUCCGUGGCGAAGGCGGCCAUCUGGAUCAACACUGACGCUGAGGCACGGAAAGCGUGGGGAGCAAACAGG
rnacentral:rRNA from 1 species